AUUGAACGCUGGCGGCAUGCCUAACACAUGCAAGUCGAACGGUAACGCGAGGAGCUUGCUCCUUGGCGACGAGUGGCGGACGGGUGAGUAAUGCUUGGGAAUCUACCCAGUAGUGGGGGACAACAUUCGGAAACGGAUGCUAAUACCGCAUACGCACUACGGUGGAAAGCGGGGGAUCUUCGGACCUCGCGCUAUUGGAUGAGCCCAAGUCGGAUUAGCUUGUUGGUAGGGUAAUGGCCUACCAAGGCGACGAUCCGUAGCUGGUCUGAGAGGACGAUCAGCCACACUGGGACUGAGACACGGCCCAGACUCCUACGGGAGGCAGCAGUGGGGAAUAUUGGACAAUGGGCGCAAGCCGUUUUUUUUUUANCCAGCAAUGCCGCGUGUGUGAAGAAGGCCUGCGGGUUGUAAAGCACUUUUAUCAGGAAAGAAAAUCUCGGGGUUAAUAGCCCCGGGCCUUGACGGUACCUGAAGAAUAAGCACCGGCUAACUCCGUG
rnacentral:rRNA from 1 species